AAAGCAGAGUCUUAGUUCAAUUCAGUGGGGGUAGAAGGUACCUUAGAGAUGAUCUAAGACAACCUCAAAUCAUGACCCAGAAGAAGAGAUAUUAAUAUAUAAAUAAAUAUUCUGUACAGGCAAACCAUUCCUUAAGAGGAAAAAGAAGCUGAGAAUCAGACAUGUUAAGCAACUUGCUAAGGGUCACAAAAAUACAAAUAAAAGAGCAAAGAUUCAAACCUAGGUCCUUUGACAAAAAAUGUGGGACCCUCUCAACUGCACUAUAUGCCAGGAUCCUAGAUGGAAAAACAGUGCUCUACAGCAUGACAAGCAGAAUAUUGGACCUAGAGUCUCAGAGUUCAAAUCCCUUCUCUGAUAAUAAGUCCAUUUUUUAAAAUAGCCCAGGAAUGAAAAAUAGAGAGACAGACAGAAAACAAUCCUAUAUCAGGUAAGUUAUGUGUCUUCUGAUGGGAUAAUAUAUGAAGAGUGCUUUUUAUCUAAGAGUUAUAUAUGUAUAUACAUAUGUAUGUGUGUAUGUAUGUGUGUAUGUAUGUAUGUAUGUAAACACACAGACCUAGGACUGGGUCAGUAGGGUAAGGGAUGAUGCUACCAGAUGGUUUCUGAGCGCAACACUUCAAUAAGCUCAUAUGAUGUGAGCUAUUUCACCACCUGGGUAGAUUUCCCCAUCAAUUUAUACUUUCUCAUUAUGGGCAACUUGUGCCCUUUGCUUACUUAUAUUUCCCUAUAGAGGAUCUUCUUUAGCUCUGUCACUGAUGGAUACCAGAAAAUCAUUUGGAAUCUUUAUUUGGGGCCAUAGAUUUAGUGAGGCUCCUUCAAGGUCAUAAAUGCUAAAGUGGAUAGAAUAAAUGGCCUUAGAGUCAGGAAGACUCA
rnacentral:lncRNA from 1 species